GGUGAACGCUGGCGGCGUGCCUAACACAUGCAAGUCGAGCGGUGCAGUUUGAAGCUUCGGUGGAAAGCUGCAUAGCGGCGGACGGGUGAGGAAACGUAGGAACGUGCCCCUUGGAGUUGGAUAGCCACGGGAAACUGUGGGUAAACCGACAUAGACUCGAGAGAGUAAAGGCCGAAAGGCGCCAAGGGAGCGGCCUGCGGCCCAUCAGGUAGUUGGUAGUGUAAAGGACUACCAAGCCGACGACGGGUAGCCGGUCUGAGAGGAUGGCCGGCCACAAGGGCACUGAGAGACGGGCCCUACUCCUACGGGAGGCAGCAGUGGGGGAUUUUGGACAAUGGGCGAAAGCCUGAUCCAGCGACGCCGCGUGGAGGACGAAGCCCUUCGGGGUGUAAACUCCUUUUCUCAGGGAAAAAGGAUGAUGGUACCUGAGGAAUAAGCCCCGGCUAACUACGUG
rnacentral:rRNA from 1 species